AUUCAAAAUCCCUCCUUUGGAGAACAAAUAUGAUCUGCAGAACCUCGAGUCAAAGAUGGCCUACCACUGUGACUGCACCAGCCGUUUGGCUCUUCAGAUUGAAGGCCUCGAGCAGCCCAGUGUUCUCCUCUCUCUCCUGGCGGAUUUCGUCUCUCAGCAGUGCUUUACGCUGCCAAAGGAGAAAAAGUGCCACCCUGCUCAAGAGGCUUCACUAAAGCCUCUGACCUACAUCAAGCACUUAAGAAGAUGGAGGAAAAAGACACUGCCGGGGUGAGAAUUUCAGGCUAUGGCAGAAAAAGAGGGAUUCCUGUACGCCUUUAUAAGCGAUGCCUGAGGCUAGAAAGGCGAGCUGAUAUUAUGGCACAGCUCAGAUGAUUGUAGACUAAGCUGCUAUGUGCAGCAACAAUGAAUUGUAUAAGCUUUGCAUUUCAUGCAGCUUUUUCUGUUUCUCUCUGAUGUUGUAAAAUGGUAGUUUGUGGACUGAAACCCUUGAAUAGUGUAAUGCAUUUGUAAGUAUGCCCCUAUAUGAAUCAUAAAUAUAGGUUAUAAAGAAUUGCAAUACAAAGCUACAAGCCUCCAG
ensembl:lncRNA